UCAAGAAUGCACAUGUGUAGUUCAUCAAACAAUACAUUAUGUGAUAUCGUGUGCAUGAUAUCUAUGUUGUAAUUACAGUUAUCUAUAAUAAUAAUAAUUUGUUCAUUAUAGUACAUUCAGAAUAGUUAUCAUUGUGGUUAUAGUUAUUCAUUAUGUGACAGGUUUUCAAGUGAGAUGAACGAGCUUCAAAACAAAACGGUCUGCAGUUUUGAGAAGCAAUUCCCAUGAUGUAUGUGUGUUUCAGGGGCCAUCUGCACCUUGGAAGCAUACAAUGGAAGGAUGAUGGAAUAUACGAAGCUGUUACAGGAAGUGACUUUGUCAUUACUAGAGUUGCAUUUCGAGACAACUCUUUAAAGUACUACAUAAAUGACUGUGGAAGUAAUUUUACAGAGGUCACUAAGAAAUUGAAAGGAAAAGGAGUGGACUUGGACAACAAUCGGUUUUUGAUUCUUCAGGUGGGUGAUGGCUGAAAAAGGCAUAUUUACUUGUGAAAAAAUAUCAUACCGUCAAAAUAUAUCUUCUCUUUCAAUUCUUUAUCAUUGAAAUUUCAAGGUGAAGUCGAGCAAAUUUCUCUAAUGAAGCCAAAGAUUUGUAUUUUCAACAUUAUUAUAAUUGUAAUUGUAAUUGAUGGAAUGAAGGAUUGUAAUUGAUUGUAAUUGUAAUUGAUUGAAUGAAAGAUUGUAAUUGAUUUUAAUUGUAAUUGAUUGAAUGAAGGAUUGUAAUUGAUUGUAAUUGUAAUUGAUUGAAUGAAGGAUUGUAAUUAAUUGUAAUUGAAUGAA